rnacentral:misc_RNA from 1 species
AGAGAGUUUAUACUUUGAAGAGGUUUGUGCUGCUUCAAUUUGACUUUGUACAAAUACGUAGAGCCUCUCAAAUACUACUAUCUAUAUAUAUAUGUGAAUAUGUGUAUUACGCAAGUCAUGAAUUCACGACCAAGAAACCUGACUACGUAUCAUGCUUUUGCAUGGUUUCACACGGUUUCUGAUUCACAAAGAGUGUGUUUACAUCUGUUUGACGCGG